rnacentral:rRNA from 1 species
GACGAACGCUGGCGGCGUGCUUAACACAUGCAAGUCGAACGGAAAGGCCCUGCUUGCAGGGUACUCGAGUGGCGAACGGGUGAGUAACACGUGGGUGAUCUGCCCUGCACUUCGGGAUAAGCCUGGGAAACUGGGUCUAAUACCGGAUAGGAGCCAUUUCUAGUGUGAUGGUUGGAAAGUUUUUUCGGUGUAGGAUGAGCUCGCGGCCUAUCAGCUUGUUGGUGGGGUAAUGGCCUACCAAGGCGGCGACGGGUAGCCGGCCUGAGUGGGUGGACGGCCACAGUGGGACUGAGAUACGGCCCAGACUCCGACGGGAGGCAGCAGUGGGGAAUAUUGCACAAUGGGCGCGAGCCUGAUGCAGCGACGCCGCGUGGGGGAUGACGGCCUUCGGGUUGUAAACUCCUUUCGCUAGGGACGAAGCUUUUUGUGACGGUACCUAGAUAAGAAGCCCCGGCUAACUACGUG